GCCUUCAUGAAGCCGGAAUUGCUAGUAAUGGCAGGUCAACAUACUGCCGUGAAUACGUUCCCGGGCCUUGUACACACCGCCCGUCACACCAUGAGAGUUGGGAAUACCCGAAGCCUGUGAGCUAACUAUAUGAGGCAGCAGUCGAAGGUAGAAUCAAUGAUUGGGGUGAAGUCGUAACAAGGUACC
rnacentral:rRNA from 1 species